rnacentral:rRNA from 1 species
GAUGAACGCUGGCGGCGUGCCUAAUACAUGCAAGUCGAGCGAACAGACGAGGAGCUUGCUCCUCUGACGUUAGCGGCGGACGGGUGAGUAACACGUGGAUAACCUACCUAUAAGACUGGGAUAACUUCGGGAAACCGGAGCUAAUACCGGAUAAUAUAUUGAACCGCAUGGUUCAAUAGUGAAAGACGGUUUUGCUGUCACUUAUAGAUGGAUCCGCGCCGCAUUAGCUAGUUGGUAAGGUAACGGCUUACCAAGGCGACGAUGGGUAGCCGACCUGAGAGGGUGAUCGGCCACACUGGAACUGAGACACGGUCCAGACUCCUACGGGAGGCAGCAGUAGGGAAUCUUCCGCAAUGGGCGAAAGCCUGACGGAGCAACGCCGCGUGAGUGAUGAAGGUCUUCGGAUCGUAAAACUCUGUUAUUAGGGAAGAACAAAUGUGUAAGUAACUAUGCACGUCUUGACGGUACCUAAUCAGAAAGCCACGGCUAACUACGUG